rnacentral:siRNA from 1 species
AUCGCAGCUGGGAUCGUCGGGGA